GGGGAAUAUUGCACAAUGGGCGGAAGCCUGAUGCAGCGACGCCGCGUGAGGGAUGAAGGCCUUCGGGUUGUAAACCUCUUUCAGCAGGGACGAAGCGUAAGUGACGGUACCUGCAGAAGAAGCGCCGGCCAACUACGUGCCAGCAGCCGCUGUAAGACGUAGGGCGCGAGCGUUGUCCGGAUUUAUUGGGCGUAAAGAGCUCGUAGGCGGCUUGUCGCGUCGACUGUGAAAACCUGCGGCUUAACUGUGGGCUUGCAGUCGAUACGGGCAGGCUAGAGUUCGGUAGGGGAGACUGGAAUUCCUGGUGUAGCGGUGAAAUGCGCAGAUAUCAGGAGGAACACCGGUGGCGAAGGCGGGUCUCUGGGCCGAGACUGACGCUGAGGAGCGAAAGCGUGGGGAGCGAAC
rnacentral:rRNA from 1 species